GAUCCUGGCUCAGGACGAACGCUGGCGGCGCGCUUAACACAUGCAAGUCGUACGGAGCAUCUCCUUCGGGGGGUGCUCAGUGGCGAACGGGUGCGUAACACGUGAGCAACCUGCCUCGGGGUGGGGGAUAACCCGUGGAAACGCGGGCUAAUACCGCAUGGCCUCGUCGAACGGAGUCGUUUGACGAGGAAAGGUGCUGAAAGGCACUGCCUUGAGAGGGGCUCGCGGCGUAUCAGCUAGCUGGUGGGG
rnacentral:rRNA from 1 species